GUAGGGAAUAUUGCGCAAUGGACGAAAGUCUGACGCAGCGACGCCGCGUGAGUGAUGAAGGCCUUAGGGUCGUAAAGCUCUGUUGAAUGGGAAGAAAAAAAUGACGGUACCAUUCGAGGAAGGACCGGCUAACUUCGUGCCAGCAGCCGCGGUAAUACGAGGGGUCCUAGCGUUGUUCGGAAUCAUUGGGCGUAAAGGGUGUGUAGGUGGCAAUGUAAGUCAGGUGUGAAAGCCCCGGGCUCAACCCGGGAAGUGCACUUGAUACUGCGUGGCUUGAGUACCGAAGAGGGUAGUGGAAUUCCAGGUGUAGUGGUGAAAUACGUAGAUAUCUGGAGGAACACCGGUGGCGAAGGCGGCUACCUGGUCGAGUACUGACACUGAGACACGAAAGCAUGGGGAUCAAACAGGAUUAGAAACCCCAGUAGUCC
rnacentral:rRNA from 1 species